rnacentral:sRNA from 1 species
UAUAAAACUAAAGUUAUCUUGUAAAAAUAUAUGCUUCUAAGUUUUUUUCAAAAAUUUGAGGACGUAGGUGAAUGUUUCUUUCUUUUGUCUUGAGGCACGGCUCUGCGCAUAAGUAAAACAUAUUGGUCCAAGUUACUAUUCUGUUUACUCAAAGGUUCUCCCAAACUACGUGACUUGGAGC